UGGGGACAGGGGGACUUGAACCCCCACGACCUUUUACGGUCAACGGAUUUUAAGUCCGUAGCGUCUACCAAUUCCCCCACACCCCCAAAA
rnacentral:tRNA from 1 species